rnacentral:rRNA from 1 species
AGAACGAACGCUGGCGGCAUGCCUAACACAUGCAAGUCGAACGCGUGACUUCGGUCACGAGUGGCGCACGGGUGAGUAACGCGUGGGAACCUGCCCCGAGGUGGGGGAUAACCGAUGGAAACGUCGGCUAAUACCGCAUACGACCUAAGGGUGAAAGAUUUAUCGCCUUGGGAGGGGCCCGCGUCGGAUUAGCUAGUUGGUGGGGUAACGGCCUACCAAGGCGAUGAUCCGUAGCUGGUCUGAGAGGAUGAUCAGCCACACUGGGACUGAGACACGGCCCAGACUCCUACGGGAGGCAGCAGUGGGGAAUAUUGGACAAUGGGCGCAAGCCUGAUCCAGCAAUGCCGCGUGAGUGAUGAAGGCCUUAGGGUUGUAAAGCUCUUUCGGCGGGGACGAUGAUGACGGUACCGCAAGAUAAGCCCCGGCUAACUUCGUGCCAGCAGCCGC